ACCACUUUGGCAUUGAUUUGCUCAAAAGAAAAUUAGGGUUUUGUUAGUAUGAUACAAAGUCAUACGGAGGUGGUAUCCCAAGACAAAGUGAACUCAACAUUAUAUAUACCCUUUUCCACUAUUAACAUCUCUAUGCUACCAAUUCCUCUCUCUGCCUUCCUCUCCCUUCAGAAAUAACUUUAAAAUACACAUUGAUAUUUCUCUUUUGGCUGAGGCUUAGAUCUAUGCAGGCUUGUUAGAUGCUUCUUUUAUUUUUCAUAUUUCUUGAUCUAUUCAAAGGAAUGUGAAGGAGGAGGAGAAGUUUGUGAUAGCUUUUUGCAGUUUUUUUGUGUCUGCGUAUAGUCUACAGCAUCAUCAAGAUUCACAUGCAAAGGCAAGGUUGUGGCAGAUCUAGACUAAACUCACAUGUUGCAUUCAAUGACUCUAAAUCUUGAACUCGUUAUUGGACGAUGAUAGAUGAGAUGACCAUGGCCUUUUGUAAGUGAGAAUCUUGAUGAUGCUGUAUCAGCAAUAAAUGACUAACUGGCUAACUUUACUUAUCAAAGAGUUGAUUUCUCAACUAAUAGUUAUUAUAAUAAAAAGUAUAUUUUUCAUUGAAGGAAAUUAGAAUUAGGGUAUACUUUCUUAUUUUUUCCACAGUUUGCAAAACAAUAAAAAACAGAAGCUCAGUCAUAUACUUGGAAAAAAUGUAUAUCAAAGUUGAUAUUGAUUAUGUUUGGACAUAAAUUGUACUUGAAAAAAUGGUUGAAUUUGAUAAAUAGAAACCAUUAUUUCACUUGAUAUACUACAUUAUUUUGUUUAAAACUCUAAAUUAUCUAUUUUAAGCUAAUAAAUUUCCAAAUAUUGAAAAGGUAAAAUAACCUGAGAGAUUUUUGUAUUUAUUUUGCGUUAUCAUUGAGACACCUCAACUUUAUUAAAACAAGAAUCUUAAACAGUAAGAUUCAGAUAUUUCUGAGUUUUCUUUUAUCCAGAUACUGCAAGAUGAAAACCAAUGGAAAUGACUCUGCACUUGCUGACAAAUGACAACAGCUCAGAUCUGUGAUUAUUCUCUAGCUAGGACAGUUUUAAUUUGUUAUGCUGAUGGUAUUUCUCAUCACAAGUUAUCUAAAAUUAGUCACUCUCUACGACUAGUUAAAGGUCUUGAUGAUCACACACAUAUCAAAACUCAAUAGAACACAGAACUACAGAAGUUUGAGUUCCAUGUUUCUUUGUCUUCUAUGUGGAAAAUAAAAAGGGUACUUAAAAAGAUACAAACUAAAAUUUGAUUAUCUUGGCUGGACAUUUAUUCCGUCUUAUGAUAAAAAAAUUUACUGGGAAGUGCUGCUUUUGGAUUGAUGAGGUUUUGAGUGUAAUCUAAUAGGUUGAAUGUCACGCUGUCAUUUCCUUGUUGGGUUUUGCACACUGUUUUUAUCAACCAUUGCUAUCCAUGUUACUUGCAAUAA